UUAGGAAUCUUGCGCAAUGGGCGAAAGCCUGACGCAGCGAUGCCGCGUGCGGGAUGAAGGCCCUCGGGUCGUAAACCGCUUUCAGCAGGGACGAUAGUGACGGUACCUGCAGAAGAAGCCCCGGCCAACUACGUGCCAGCAGCCGCGGUAAUACGUAGGGGGCGAGCGUUGUCCGGAUUUAUUGGGCGUAAAGAGCUCGUAGGCGGUUUGGUAAGUCGGGUGUGAAAUCUCCACGCUCAACGUGGAGGGGCCACUCGAUACUGCCAUGACUCGAGUCCGGUAGAGGAGUGUGGAAUUCCCGGUGUAGCGGUGAAAUGCGCAGAUAUCGGGAGGAACACCCGUAGCGAAGGCGGCACUCUGGGCCGGAACUGACGCUGAGGAGCGAAAGCGUGGGGAGCAAACAGGAUUAGAUACCC
rnacentral:rRNA from 1 species